ACUUAAAUAAUUUAAAUAAAAUAUUGAUUUGUGGAGUCAAAUAUAUGGUUUUACCAUUUUAGGUC
rnacentral:tRNA from 1 species